GUGGGGAAUCUUGCGCAAUGGGCGAAAGCCUGACGCAGCCAUGCCGCGUGAAUUAUGAAGGUCUUAGGAUUGUAAAAUUCUUUCACCGGGGACGAUAAUGACGGUACCCGGAGAAGAAGCCCCGGCUAACUUCGUGCCAGCAGCCGCGGUAAUACGAAGGGGGCUAGCGUUGCUCGGAAUUACUGGGCGUAAAGGGCGCGUAGGCGGACAGUUUAGUCAGAGGUGAAAGCCCAGGGCUCAACCUUGGAAUUGCCUUUGAUACUGGCUGUCUUGAGUACGGGAGAGGUGAGUGGAACUCCGAGUGUAGAGGUGAAAUUCGUAGAUAUUCGGAAGAACACCAGUGGCGAAGGCGACUCACUGGCCCGUUACUGACGCUGAGGCGCGAAAGCGUGGGGAGCAAACAGGAUUAGAAACCCUUGUAGUCC
rnacentral:rRNA from 1 species